rnacentral:rRNA from 1 species
GAUGAACGCUGGCGGCGUGCCUAAUACAUGCAAGUCGAGCGAACAGACGAGGAGCUUGCUCCUUCGACGUUAGCGGCGGACGGGUGAGUAACACGUAGGUAACCUACCUAUAAGACUGGGAUAACUUCGGGAAACCGGAGCUAAUACCGGAUAAUAUUUCGAACCGCAUGGUUCGAUAGUGAAAGAUGGCUUUGCUAUCACUUCUAGAUGGACCUGCGCCGUAUUAGCUAGUUGGUAAGGUAACGGCUUACCAAGGCAACGAUACGUAGACGACCUGAGAGGGUGAUCGGCCACACUGGAACUGAGACACGGUCCAGACUCCUACGGGAGGCAGCAGUAGGGAAUCUUCCGCAAUGGGCGAAAGCCUGACGGAGCAACGCCGCGUGAGUGAUGAAGGUCUUCGGAUCGUAAAACUCUGUUAUUAGGGAAGAACAAAAGUGUAAGUAACUGUGCACGUCUUGACGGUACCUAAUCAGAAAGCCACGGCUAACUACGUG